CGGGACACGUGGUAUCCUGUCUGAAUAUGGGGGGACCAUCCUCCAAGGCUAAAUACUCCUGACUGACCGAUAGUGAACCAGUACCGUGAGGGAAAGGCGAAAAGAACCCCGGCGAGGGGAGUGAAAAAGAACCUGAAACCGUGUACGUACAAGCAGUGGGAGCACAGAGCAAUCUGUGUGACUGCGUACCUUUUGUAUAAUGGGUCAGCGACUUAUAUUCUGUAGCAAGGUUAACCGAAUAGGGGAGCCGAAGGGAAACCGAGUCUUAACUGGGCGUUAAGUUGCAGGGUAUAGACCCGAAACCCGGUGAUCUAGCCAUGGGCAGGUUGAAGGUUGGGUAACACUAACUGGAGGACCGAACCGACUAAUGUUGAAAAAUUAGCGGAUGACUUGUGGCUGGGGGUGAAAGGCCAAUCAA
rnacentral:rRNA from 1 species